GACGAACACUGGCGGCGUGCUUAACACAUGCAAGUCGAACGGAAAGGCCCUGCUUUUGUGGGGUGCUCGAGUGGCGAACGGGUGAGUAACACGUGAGUAACCUGCCCUUGACUUUGGGAUAACUUCAGGAAACUGGGGCUAAUACCGGAUAGGAGCUCCUGCUGCAUGGUGGGGGUUGGAAAGUUUCGGCGGUUGGGGAUGGACUCGCGGCUUAUCAGCUUGUUGGUGGGGUAGUGGCUUACCAAGGCUUUGACGGGUAGCCGGCCUGAGAGGGUGACCGGCCACAUUGGGACUGAGAUACGGCCCAGACUCCUACGGGAGGCAGCAGUGGGGAAUAUUGCACAUUGGGCGGAAGCCUGAUGCAGCAACGCCGCGUGCGGGAUGACGGCCUUCGGGUUGUAAACCGCUUUCGCCUGUGACGAAGCGUGAGUGACGGUAAUGGGUAAAGAAGCACCGGCUAACUACGUG
rnacentral:rRNA from 1 species